UUCACCAUUUUAUUGCCCGAAUAGCCCAACUUUUAUAGUGAAUUUUACAGGGGUGGACAGUGUUUCACACAAGAUUAUUGGUCAAAAGCACCCAGACAAACCGUUAAGAAAAUAACACCACCUUUUGAUUAGAAGUUAGGAAAACAAUCCCCUUUGUGCUUAACGGUCACGUAGACCUAGUCCUUGAGGCCAGCUGCUGAUAACAAUAUUUUCUGAGUUCCUUAAUUGGGUGAUGUGGGAGUCAUUGCUGUGGGAGCUUCUCACAGUUACUCUGGCAGCUUGGUUUGCUCAGCUACAGCAGGCCCUGAGAUUUCUAAGGCCUACCCCUGGUUGCUUAAAGCAAGCUUAGAUCGAACAAUUAUGCCAAUUCCCAACAUUUACACACCAGCAACCAUAUACCUGCAAGCCUCCACAUUUAAUCGUCUUGAGAGAAAUGUUCUGCACAGCUAUACUGAAAUGGUAUCUUUGUGGAAUCAGCUUGUGAAGAAUGAGAUUCAUUUGGAGAAUAAUGAAAAAGACAAAUUUCUUUGCUUUAAGAUAAAAAGCACAAAACAAAACUUCACAGCCAGCUAUUAGAAUCUGCCAAUGGUAAGACAAAAAAGUACAAAUGUACAAAGGUAAUUUCUCUGACCCAGUGCUGUGUUUUUCAGGUCUGCCACUUUCCCCAAAUAUGUCUUUGCUUUGUGUUGAAGGUUAAACAGUUCCAGUGCUCCUUCUUUUUCAUCCAUUUUGACAACCUGCAAUGUAAAGCUAUAUUUAAAAACAAAACCAACCAACCAUACCCCACCCUCCAAUGUCAUCCCCCACAACAGUUUUGAAUCCUAUGCACCUAUCUGGGAUGCCAAUCACAGACAGAAGGGCAGGGAGGAGAGAGCAAAAAGAUAUAAUAUGACUAGAAAUAGAGCUAUAGAUGUGAUUGCUUACAUUCUUACAUUUUGAUACAAAUGUCAGGUAUGGAAGAUUAUACUGUCAUAGGUAUGGAAGAUUAUACUGUCAUAGGGAAUCAGCAUAUUUUGCCUAUGAGUGUGUAUAGUAACAGCCUUGGGUUAUAUGUCAUUCAAGCCUCUGCAUCCUUUCCAAUUUAUGAUAAUGCUUAAAAUCAUGUUUGCUUUGCUUGGUGCCUACAACAUGGGAAACAUAACAAAUAGUUUGUCUCCAAAGAGGAGUAAUACAUUAGUAAGGAUGUUUGUCGUCUGACACACUCAGUGGUUUACUAUUAAUGUCACUUUUAUUCUUAUGUAAAUUGCGAUCAGGAUUUAAAGUCGUGCAGAAAGGGGACGUUCUGUGAAAUGACAGUCUCACUGCAGCCUAUUAAGCUGUGUGGUUUUUGUUUUGGUGUUCCUGAAUAUGAAUACAGUGAAUCUGAUGCAAUUGUCCUUUUCUCUCCUGGUGUCAUGAUUUGACUGCAGCCUAUGAAGACAAACUUCUCUGUGAAGGCUGUAUGGACAGAUUACAAUAGUCUGCCUAAAAUUCUUCAGUUUUGAAGUCAAAUAGAAGAACUGAAGAAGGAGAAGAUGCUCUAUCAAAAACGUGGAACAGUUUAUUUCAGGUUCAGUAGUUUCAUUCCUAUCUCUGAAGAAAAUUUUGGCCUACAUUUAAUGUGUAUCUUGAUGCCCUUGGGGAAAGGUUCUGGGCUUUACAUGAUGAAUGUGUCACAUGCACAAAGCCUUAAGUCUUUCCCAUCUGUCUCUGCACUUCCUUGAGCACACUGCCUGCAUGGGCUAGUUAUUUGCAUCCACUUAGCUUUCACACCCUUCCUUGAAGCGGUAGAGAAUAAAGUCAUCAAGGGAAACA
rnacentral:lncRNA from 1 species